CCUACGGGGGGCAGCAGUCGAGAAUCUUUCACAAUGGGGGAAACCCUGAUGGUGCGACGCCGCGUGGGGGAAUGAAGGUCUUCGGAUUGUAAACCCCUGUCAUGUGGGAGCAAAUUAAAAAGAUAGUACCACAAGAGGAAGAGACGGCUAACUCUGUGCCAGCAGCCGCGGUAAUACAGAGGUCUCAAGCGUUGUUCGGAAUCACUGGGCGUAAAGUGGGCGUAGGCUGUUUCGUAAGUCGUGUGUGAAAGGCGCGGGCUCAACCCGCGGACGGCACAUGAUACUGCGAGACUAGAGUAAUGGAGGGGGAACCGGAAUUCUCGGUGUAGCAGUGAAAUGCGUAGAUAUCGAGAGGAACACUCGUGGCGAAGGCGGGUUCCUGGACAUUAACUGACGCUGAGGCACGAAGGCCAGGGGAGCGAAAGGGAUUAGAUACCCUAGUAGUC
rnacentral:rRNA from 1 species